CUUUUAUUUAGCAGAAAACAGCUCUGGUGUUGGUGUGGAUUGAAAUGGAAAAAAAGAGAUCUUUCACCUUCAGCAGACACAGGAUGAUGUCUUCAGGCUCAAACAGAAGCAUCUCAAACAGACACACACAGCCUAAUGAGAUGUGUAUGAAGCUGUGCGUCAAGAAAAUACAGGCUUAGAAACUGCCUAAAAGCACCAUUACCUGCAUCUUUUUAGCUUCAGCUGUGCAUAGGGUGCUAUUAAAAUAACAGAUAUGAAACGAGAUCUUGGACACUUCUCCAGCAAGGGACAACAGGCGUGGCGGAGUCAUGAC